UCCUUCUUCUGACCCGGAGCAUCGCUGUCGAAUCGCACAAACUCCGUGUCGUCCACGUAGCCCACAGUCUCUGUCAGAACCAGGGCUGAUGAGAGCAGCAGCAGGAGAGAUGGGGACCUCAUGACCAGUGCUCUUCAGUCCUGGGAGAAGCUGGCUGGCUGGAAAAUUUAUAUCUGGAGCCGUGGAGAUGCUGAUUGGCUGUCAUGGAAACCCUCCAGGCAAUGGGGAGUGAGAACUGGGAUUACAGGUCAACAGGAAUGCAGUAACGACAGGAGGCAAGAAAGAAGGCCAGUGGCACCUCAACAUGAUGAUUCACGCAGAAGUUACCGGAGAGAAUAUAGAUGGAAUGUACGGGAUCCAGAACCGAGGAAGGAGGAAAGGAGACAAAUGAUGGCUCAGAGCAGAGGCUCACAUGAAGAGAGCAGGGAAUAUGGACAGGAGAGUAGACAUCAAGAGAUGACCUCCGAGGAAAGGAGACAAGUGGUGGUACACAGGAGAGAUUCAGAUGAAGAAUGGGGGGGCCCGGGGCUCCACUAGAUCUAAAACGGUCCACUAAAAUAACCCCCUUGGGAACUCAUUGAAGACCUGAGAUUUUCUUUAAGAAAAAGACAAAAACUUACAUGGUAGUAACUUUUCUUCUUUUCCAGCAAUGUAGCCGUGUGCUUCAAAAUGCACUUUCUGAAGGAACCCUAAAAUGGCAGACAUGCUCUAACCAGUCCUCUUCCUUUGAAAACAUUUAGGAACAUAACAAUGACAGCGUGCAAUUAUGCUAGCAGUUUUUUUUUUUUUUUAGUGAUUUGAUUUUACUACACAAGAAGGCCUUCAGUCUUGAUCUUGACAUUUCCUUGAAAAAUUUUCAUUUAUUCUUUUUGCUUGUUUUAGUUUUUAUCAUUUUGGCCUAUAUGAGUAUAACUGCAGUUACUAUGAUUUUACGUACAUAACUAAGAAAACUUGUGUCUAUAUGUUGCAUGUCUUAUGUCUUUUCCUUGUGUUUAAUUGUCUUGGCUUCGGGGUGUUCUAAAUUGGUUUGAAUGGUGCCUAUAUAUUGUAAACACACAAACAAAUGAAAAUGUAAUGUUCCUGGUAACUAAUUUGUUUUUGAACAGGUUACACUGGUAGAAUUUUUUUCUCUUACUUGGGUUGAUAAUGUCAGGCAAAUGGAAGUUUGGAAUAGUUAAGGUUUUUGAGAUCAAAAGAGUCUCUAGUUAAGAAAAAAGAAAUAAAAACUAAAAGGCUGUGGUUUGACUGUCAACAUUGUCUUACUGAACUGAGCCGGAGCUUUCACAGAAAUUGAGAUUGUCAUUGCUGCUAUUGUUUUUUUAUUUGUGACCAAACUUCCCAGAAUUUUAAAUUGAAAUACAGUUUGGUAGUUUGCCAUUUGGUUCAUCGUAAGAAAUGUUGUGGAACCUCAUUAGAGCUCCUGAGACACUCCACAAAAUUUCUCCCUUUCCCUCUGGGAAAAGCAUUCAGAUCAAAUUGUCCGAUUUGGUACACAUAGUAAACUAAGACUGGGAAGGAAGCAUUGUCACUUGGG